AAUAGAUACCCGGGUAGUCCACGCCGUAAACGAUGAGUGCUAAGUGUUAGGGGGUUUCCGCCCCUUAGUGCUGCAGCUAACGCAUUAAGCACUCCGCCUGGGGAGUACGGUCGCAAGACUGAAACUCAAAGGAAUUGACGGGGGCCCGCACAAGCGGUGGAGCAUGUGGUUUAAUUCGAAGCAACGCGAAGAACCUUACCAGGUCUUGACAUCCCGUUGACCACUGUAGAGAUAUAGUUUCCCCUUCGGGGGCAACGGUGACAGGUGGUGCAUGGUUGUCGUCAGCUCGUGUUGUGAGAUGUUGGGUUAAGUCCCGCAACGAGCGCAACCCUUGAUCUUAGUUGCCAUCAUUUAGUUGGGCACUCUAAGGUGACUGCCGGUGACAAACCGGAGGAAGGUGGGGAUGACGUCAAAUCAUCAUGCCCCUUAUGACCUGGGCUACACACGUGCUACAAUGGACGAUACAAACGGUUGCCAACUCGCGAGAGGGAGCUAAUCCGAUAAAGUCGUUCUCAGUUCGGAUUGUAGGCUGCAACUCGCCUA
rnacentral:rRNA from 1 species